rnacentral:rRNA from 1 species
GGGGGCAACCCUGAUCCAGCCAUGCCGCGUGAGUGAAGAAGGCCUUCGGGUUGUAAAGCUCUUUCGGGAGGAACGAAACGGUUCGGGCUAAUAACUUGAACUUCUGACGGUACCUCAAGAAGAAGCACCGGCUAACUACGUGCCAGCAGCCGCGGUAAUACGUAGGGUGCGAGCGUUAAUCGGAAUUACUGGGCGUAAAGCGUGCGCAGGUGGUUCGUUAAGACAGAUGUGAAAUCCCCGGGCUUAACCUGGGAACUGCGUUUGUGACUGGCGGGCUAGAGUCGUUGAGAGGGAGGUAGAAUUCCACGUGUAGCAGUGAAAUGCGUAGAUAUGUGGAGGAAUACCGAUGGCGAAGGCAGCCUCCUGGCAACUGACUGACACUCAUGCACGAAAGCGUGGGGAGCAAACAGGAUUAGAUACCCUGGUAGUCCACGCCCUAAACGAUGUCAACUGGUUGUUGGGUAACUUGUUUACUCAGUAACG